GAUGAACGCUGGCGGCGUGCUUAACACAUGCAAGUCGAACGGAAAGGCCCAAGCUUGCUUGGGUACUCGAGUGGCGAACGGGUGAGUAACACGUGGGUGAUCUGCCCUGCACUUCGGGAUAAGCCUGGGAAACUGGGUCUAAUACCGGAAAGGACACCUUCUUGGAGGUUGUGGUGGAAAGUUUUUCGGUGGGGGGUGAGCUGGCGGCCUUUCAGCUUGUUGGUGGGGUAAUGGCCUACCAAGGCGUCGACGGGUAGCCGGCCUGAGAGGGUGUACGGCCACAUUGGGACUGGGAUACGGCCCAGACUCCUACGGGAGGCAGCAGUGGGGAAUAUUGCACAAUGGGCGCAAGCCUGAUGCAGCGACGCCGCGUGGGGGAUGACGGCCUUCGGGUUGUAAACUCCUUUCGCUAGGGACGAAGCUUAUUUUGUGACGGUACCUGGAGAAGAAGCACCGGCUAACUACGUG
rnacentral:rRNA from 1 species